CUGCGCGAGCUCAACAGUGUGUUAGCCUGGUGUUAGCUUGGCAGCUAAGCGUAAUGCAGCCGAUAGAGGAAGUGGCGUAGUUGUCUUCUCCAGCAGCGGUUGCCCUUUCAGAGUAAAAGCGACAUUGAAAACAGAUCCACUGUGGUUUCUAUGACAACCGCUGACUGAUGUCACGUUUGGAACAAGAAAAUAAAGCUCGGUCUUCAUGGCGAGCAUCUCCCGAGCGUAAACGUCUGGAUAAUGAGCUUCAUGAAAAGCUUUUUCCAGCUCCUCCAACUGAUGAGAGUUUCCAGAACCUUUGGAGUCGUUUCGAUCAGAGAGACAAUCUUCAUCUGUGGCGGAAAAAAGACAAAAAACAAAGGACAUCGACUUUAUUGAUUAUCAAUCAUUCAAUGGUUUAUUUUACUUAUACAAAAACGAAAUAAAAUGAAAUGCGUUAUUAUUCGUAUUCUGAUCAGUAUUAUUGCUAAAUUGCGUUAAAGAUUAAAAUGUGUUUUUAAACUAAAACAAACGAAAUAAUAAAAAAGAACGGAAGAAAAAAAUUCACGCAGAGCUGCAGUGAAAUAUAAAACAAAAUUAAAAUACAUAUUUAUAAAAAUCUAGAGGACAAAAUCGAAACAUUUUAAAAGUCGAAGGUUUGAUUGAAAAUUAAAAAUAAAGAAAUAAGUUAAAGUUUCAGAAAAAUUAACUGAGCUGAGAUUAAAAGUACCAACAAACAAACCUCCUGAGAAAAAAACGAGGAUAAAAUAAAUAUUUAAAGAAAAGAAAACUUUAAAAUGAUAAAAAAUGGAAAAAACUAAAAAUAACGAAUCAAAAUGUUUCAAACACAAAAACAUGAGCAAACAUUUCAUAGAAAAACAUGUUGAAGAAACUCGGCUCGUACCGGAGUAAUUGUCCCUUUGGUUGUCCAGGUUGUGUGUCCA